AGUGAACGCUGGCGGUAGGCCUAACACAUGCAAGUCGAACGGCAGCACAGGAGAGCUUGCUCUCUAGGUGGCGAGUGGCGGACGGGUGAGGAAUACAUCGGAAUCUGCCCAGUCGUGGGGGAUAACGUAGGGAAACUUACGCUAAUACCGCAUACGACCUUCGGGUGAAAGAGGGGGAUCGCAAGACCUCUCGCGAUUGGAUGAGCCGAUGUCGGAUUAGCUAGUUAGCGGGGUAAUGGCCCACCAAGGCGACGAUCCGUAGCUGGUCUGAGAGGAUGAUCAGCCACACUGGAACUGAGACACGGUCCAGACUCCUAAGGGAGGCAGCAGUGGGGAAUAUUGGACAAUGGGCGCAAGCCUGAUCCAGCCAUACCGCGUGGGUGAAGAAGGCCUUCGGGUUGUAAAGCCCUUUUGUUGGGAAAGAAAUCUUUCAGGCUAAUACCCUGGGAGGAUGACGGUACCCAAAGAAUAAGCACCGGCUAACUUCGUG
rnacentral:rRNA from 1 species